rnacentral:rRNA from 1 species
CUACGUGCCAGCAGCCGCGGUAAUACGGAGGGGGCAAGCGUUAUCCGGAAUUAUUGGGCGUAAAGGGUACGUAGGUGGCCUUUUAAGCGUAGGGUAUAAGGCAAUGGCUCAACCAUUGUUCGCCCUAUGAACUGGAAGGCUUGAGUGCAGGAGAGGAAAGCGGAAUUCCUAGUGUAGCGGUGGAAUGCAUAGAUAUUAGGAGGAACAUCAGCGGCGAAGGCGGCUUUCUGGACUGCAACUGACACUGAGGUACGAAAGCGUGGGGAGCAAACAGAAUUAGAUACCCUGGUAGUCCACGCCGUAAACGAUGAGCACUAGGUGUCGGGGUCGUAAGGCUUCGGUGCCGUAGUUAACGCAUUAAGUGCUCCGCCUGGGGAGUACGCACGCAAGUGUGAAACUCAAAGGAAUUGACGGGGACCCGCACAAGCAGCGGAGCAUGUGGUUUAAUUCGAAGCAACGCGAAGAACCUUACCAGGACUUGACAUCC